rnacentral:lncRNA from 1 species
AUGUGCUGCUUUUCACAGCUCACCCAAACACUCCUGCCUGAUAAGCCUGCCUGCAGAGGGAUGUUAUCUGUAUUUCUGGGAUCAGCGGAAAAGAGAAAAAAAAAAGUGGGAGGCAUAUCUGAAUAUUUUAAACAGCUAAUUCUGAUGCAAGCAAGUUGCACAGAGGACACUUCUUGGAUGGGGAAGGCUGAGGAGAGGCUCUGUGAAGAACUGUUAUCCCCAUUUCACAGAAGACUGAACCAGCAAGAGGCCAUACAUCCACGCUGGGGUCUCAGAGAGUCUGCAGCAGGGUCUGUGCCUCCCAAGUCUGAGGAUCACAACCUCAUUUUCUGUCAGUUUUUCAGCAUUUCUGCCACUGAAGAUCCUCUUCUACAGCUUCAAGUUAAAAAAAUCUUUGUGGCAGAUUUGGCAUUGCCUGUAAUAAUUUAUGAAUGUGAUGUGUUGACAUGUUUAUUGUGUGCAUACAUUGAGCUACUUCAAUAGCUGGAUUGUCAAGAUGUGUACCCAGGAGAGAGAAGAUGGAUCCAGGCACACACUUCUGAGGAAACACUUGGGAAACAAAGCAAGUGCUCCUCACUGUGAUGUUUUGGCUGGGCCCCUGUUAGGCUCACUGGAGAGAUUUCCCUGGGAGAAACGUGGGGGCCUGCAAAGCAAGACAUGAAAGACCCCAGAGGAUUUACAGAGGACCAUAUAAACAGAUGUUUUUGUGAGCAAAAUUCCAAAAGGGGUUGAAAGUGCUCAGAUCUGUAGAUAUUUAAUUUUGUAGAUGUUGGCAAGACUACAAGAAAAAGUGCAUGUGAAAUAUGUUUUAACCAACAUGCUUUAUUUCAUUGAUUAAGUGGGUCUUCUUUUUUAAAAAUGUUUCAGUCGCAGGAAGGCUGAAGGUCUCUCUUCUCAGGUAUGAGCUUGGAAGAUGCAUGGGGCAGGCUGCAGCUUGUGUUUAGUAUAGUAUGUGGGAAUCAGAUUAUCCCAUGCAUGGAAAGGUAAAAGCUCAAGGCCUGCUAUAAGCAGAAGGUAAGCCAGAAAGAUCACUGGCAACCAGAGAUAUAGCAGUAACCAUAAGAAGACCAUCACCUUUCUUAUAAGUCCUUACAUAUAGUUCUACUAAUGGCUUUUAUUAAACAUUUAGCCUUAUCAUUCAAGAAAUUAAUAUUUGUUACAAAAAGCUGUCCCAUUUACAUUUAUUGUCCCAAGUACAAGCUGAACCAAAGCUAAUGAGCCUUAAUACUUGCAGAAUAAUUCAAAGUUUAAAGGUGGUGUUAACAAAAAUAAAAUAAGGAAGAGUGGAAAACUCCAGUUUCAUUGUCCACUAGAGAACCUGAAUUUUUUCCUUUUGGAUCAUAAAAUUAAAUCUAUUGCUCAACUCUUACACUGCUACUAAAGUAGUACAAAAACACAUAUAUGUGCAUAAUUAAGUACCCCUGUGUGACCAUAAAAGGUCUCACUGGCUGUUCAAGGGGGAGGCACGUGGGACAUGAUUCAGCAGCAUGAAAGAGGGAAUGGCAUUAGAAUGGCAUUACUGUAAUCUCCCUGUAUUUCUUUACUUUGAUGGGGCUCAGCCUUAUGUGGUAGAGUGAUGGGGUGUACAGCAGUGGCAACUGUGUUCCAGUGCAGAGUCUGGGCUGUGUGUCCUGUGCAUCUGAGACACAACAGCAAACUGACCUGGAACUGCACAGGUAUUGAUCCUAUGGAAAUCAUACCUCAAAUCAGACACACAAAAAAACUGAGGCACUGGGUAUAUUAGAUUUACCUGGAAAGUUAGGUGAAUUUUUUAUUUAUUUGCCUUCUGGUUUUGCAAUGUCAGAUAGGAAUGGUAAAUAGGUAAGUGGAAAAAAGUCACUGAGUCCUGCCCUUGAAAAAAUGAUCUAGCUUAAAGCACCAGCAUUUCAAUCUUUGUGUUCAAAUGAAGAGACCAAACAAGUUAAAGAAACAAGCAGGGUAAACAGCACAGCUAUUAAGUGACAUUUUGGAAGUGACAAUUGAGCAGUUGUAUGGUGACCAAUCUCCUACCACAGUUAUGCUCAAUUUUAUGUGGCCCCUAUUAGCCACACCACCUGUCCUGGGAGCUCCCCACACAUCCCAGUCUUGAUUAAAAAAUUUUGGAAGUAAAAAAAGGGAAUGGGUAUCAACAUAACACAAUGGAGUUGUGGGGCAGGGCACACACAGGAGCACUGUUCACAUCUCAUGCAACACCUAGUUCCACUCCUUGAUAAAUAAUCACACCUUGCUCCAGCAAGACCUUGAAGAGGCACAAGGAGUUUUAUAGAUGGACUUGGAGCUACUCAGUAGAUGCAGUCAAGCUCCUUUUGAGCUGCCUCCCCUGUGAGACUGGAGCCUUUCCCAAGAGGGAUCCCUGUGGCAAAGGGCCUCUCAUCUGUUUGACCCUGGAGCAAGCACCACAUUGUGCUGGCAGCACAGAGAAGGCAGCAGAGGCAUUUUUUCCUGAGGUAGAAGAGUCACCUGUGCCCUGGGGCUGCUCUGGGGGCUGCAAACUCAGACCAAGAGACAGAAAUAACCCAGGAGUUGUUAGCUGGAGAGCUUGGAUUUGCAGACUCUCCAGCAGAGCAAGGCUUAAUGAAGAACUCCAAGGAAAAUUAGAUAAAAUGGACUGAUGUGGACAUCAGAAAAUUUCUACAGCAUAAAUCAUAAAUUCUCCCCAGUUUGGAGAGAGGUAAGAAUUUAAUCUCCAUUAAUUUAAUCCGGCACAUAGAGAGAACAAAGCAGUCUCUACAUGGGAGAGUUAACAUUGCUUGGAUUGAUACAGAGAGACAAGAUGCACUUGCAGGCAUAGGAAAAAUGCAUCUCUGAGAAAUUUUCCACUAUUAAUAUUUUUCCCUUGCAAAUGUGGGUCUUCUAAAACACUCUUUUCUUUUGGAAGGAUCUAAAUGAGGAGGAGGUGGGAAGUAGAGCUACAAAGCAUGUAAGAAAGCCUCAAAUACAUGAGUGGGAGGAAGGAGGAAGAAAUGAAAGAAUAAUGAAGCUUGCAUCACUGAAAGAAAACAACAGAAGAAGGGAAAUGCAUAUACUUGUGGCUAAAUUUUGAAGGAACUUAGGCUGAGGUUUCAAACGGCUGUGGUUAGCAUAGAUGCAGGCACAGAGUAAUUCAGAUGAUCUGAUCAAAGAACAAAGAAAUGUUAAAACUGAUUUCGUUAGGAAAAAUACCUGCCUUAGAGUUAAUGGUAAGCACAGGAAAAGAUGUCUUGUUUGUAUUGUUGAUAUGAAGCAGCCCUGAGAGGAUUAUCAGCACCUGUAGUAUGCAGGCUCAUUAUGAGACUUGGACAUUACUUCAAUAGGGCCAAGAUUUUACCCUUCAUGGAGUCUCUGUUGGCAUCUGUGAGAUUUCCUUAUGUGAUGACAUUGCAAACAGGUGUCUAUAUGUUUAAAUACAAUUAAUAGAAAUCUUAUUAUUAACAUGUUGCCCAGGGUCCGCAGCUCCAGCUGCAUCAAUAGUUGAUCCCAAAUAUUCAGCUGCACUUGGAGUGUUGUCACUAAAACUAAAUCAGGCGUUUCUACCUUGAGAGCUUCUCCAGUGGCCAUCACUCCAAUGGUUAUCCACCAGAACCAGGAAACAAGCCUGGAAGAGGAGCCUGAGGUUGGGUUCAUUCCACACCUGAUUUUUGUCAGUGCUUUGCUGCAAGGGCAUUCAGCAAGCCAGGCUGAUCUAUCCUGACACAGUCUUCGAAAAUUUUGCAGAGCUUUUGCAGAGCAGUCAGUAGAAAACUUUCAACUGAACUGAACGAGUAACCUGUGUGUCUUACACAGGAAUCCUGUGGGAUGGGAUUGUCUCUGUGUCUGUGUCACCAAAACCACCUACGUAAUGAAAACUGUAACUUCGCUCAGGAAACCCCAGGGUUUUAUAUUCACUUUGGAAUAAACUGAGCCCAUCCAUCCAUUGAAGAGGCGAGCAUCAGGGAAUCAACAGGAGGUUUUGCCAUCUGCACAGACGAGAAGUGCUCAGGGAUCUAACUAGGACCAAGAUGGGGGCAGGGAGGAGGUUCAUGCCAGCAAGUUUUACAAAUGGAAAGACUACACUGCUACUCCAGCUUCUACUGGCUUUUCAAAAUCAACUUGGAGACAACAAGAAAAAAGGGCAGAGGAACAAUUUUCCAUUUCCUAGUAAAGCUAUACUUGAUAUAGAUAGAAAAUGCCAUUCCUUUUCUUUUUUCAAAUCUUGUCAUCAAAAUUCAGAGUUGAUACCUUUUUGUACAUUGUUGUGAAAUAUGCUGGUGCAAAAUCUGGGUCUCCUUGUGUCAUGCCCACAGCAAAGCAUGUUGAUCUGGGGUUGGCAGUCCUGUAGAGUAGUGGAGUUUGAGUAGGCAGGAAAAAGAGUUGGGAGCAUACAGCUGUCAUUCUGUCCUGUAUCUAAGCAAGCUUUGUGUUCAGGAAAGAAUGUAUCCCUUAUGGGAAAAGAAAAAAAUCUCAUCCCAUCCUGAACCAGCCAUUCCCAUAUUAUCAUAAAGUAAAUCUAAAAGGAUAAGCUAGGCUUUUCCUGUAAUCGCUAGAGCAAUCACAUAUACCUCGAGUUGUCAUUCUAACAGGGUUGGUUAGAGAAAGCUAACUUAAAAUUAAUAAUUAAAUGCCCAUUACAGGCUUGACAGUCUGCAGGUGUGUGGCAGUGCUGAUGGCACCAGCUCCCUCUGAGAUCCUGCCAGCCUCACCUGCUGCCACGGCAGCACGGCAGGACAAGCAGCAGGAGGGCGGGCUGCAGAGGGGCAGAGGAGUGGGCAGGAGGAGACAAGUGCACCCUUGGCACUGCAGCUCUUCUGGCAUGGGGAGCUUUCUCUGUUUUCAGCCGUGAAUACGAUGCACGGAGGCGUCAGGCCUCGCCGAGGCUCCCGGCGGGUAGAGACGGUAAAAAAUAACGGUAGUAAUUCUGUGUGUCUUGUUUUUCAAGGUGUAAAAGACUGGCUCCGGUGGCGCGAAGGCCGUUCCCGGUCGCACCGCGCCGGCCAAGACAGGCACCGGGGCGUGAGGGCACUGACGGGACAGCGGCCCCAGGGGCUCCCCUGAAGGAGAAGGGACGGAACGCGAGGGACCUGCCUCCUCCGCAGGAAAACACCGCCGAGGGAGCAGCCCCUCUCAGCCCGACAGCUCCCCGCUCCCGAAGUUUCCUCGGGGAAGCCGGCGCGGGCACCCCCCCCCCCCCCCCCCCCCCCCCCCCCCCCCCCCCCCCCCCCCCCCCCCCCCCCCCCCCCCC